rnacentral:lncRNA from 9 species
CACAGGUGAAAGAGUUUGAGUGCACAGGUGUGCGUGCGUGUGAGCGUGCGUGCGUGCGUGCGAGAAGGUCAGAGUGCGCCGCGUGUCCGUAAGUGAAAGUGCGCGUUUUUGUGUUCAGAUGGAGGACGCCCCCAGCUCCCAGAAGAGCGGGCGACUUUCUUCCUCUCACGACUUGGGGAGAGGAGGAGGAGGACCGUUUCCGACGUGGACAGGUUUCGACGUCUUAGGGGUGAGAGCAGCUGUUUUCACAAUGUUGCCUGUUGAAGAAUCCAGGCCCGUUGUCUCAUGGAAGGUCCACGUCCAGGAUCUGCCUGUGUUUCCUUACAAUGUCAUUGAACUUGUUCCUCUGGCCCCUGUAUUGCCUAUAAACUUGAAGGUAGGCCUGGCGACUUGAUUAGAUACUUCUUAGCCCAUCUGGGGGAGACUAACCCAUGGGCAGGGCUCCCUUGGUGCUGACCUGGAGGCCCUCAGGAGGUUGCCCACCACAGUCCCAUGUCAUGCUGAGUUGCUGACAGCUGGGUCUCCUCAUUGUAAGGGGUCAGUUUCCUUGAAGGGAAAUGUUUGUCCUAUCCUGUCUCUCCCUCUUUUUUUUUUUUUUUUUUUUUUUUUUGGUCUUUCUGUCUUUUUAGGGCUGCACCCGUGGCAUAUGGAUGUUCCCAGGCUAGGGGUCUAAUCGGAGCUACAGCUGCCAGCCUACACCACAGCCACAGCAAAACCAGAUCUGAGCCAUGUCUGCAACCAACACCACAGCUGGCGGCAAUGCUGGAUCCUUAACCCACUGAGCAAGGCCAGGGAUCAAACCUGCAACCUCAUGGUUCCUAGUCGGAUUCAUUUAUGCUGCACCACAACAGGAACUCCUGUCCUGUCUCUUGUAUUAAGAGAGCUGGGGCCCAGCAGGAGCUUCCAACUUAGGAUCCCAGCAUGCCUGACAGGACCAGAGGGUCAGGGCUCUGUGUGACAACUGCCCAAAGAUACCCCAGCAGGGACAAGUAGAGGCUGAAACCCAGCCGUGUGACAAUCUCCAAGCUGGUGCCGGGUUCAAGGCUGGCUUGGUCCAGGUAGGGCCAGAAUGGGAUGGAAUGUCCUGUCAACUGUGGGUGGUACCACUGGUUCUGACACUGUGGGGUGUCCUGAGUCCCUACACCCCACUAGACAAGCCUCUUACACCAUCCGGUGGACUCACUACCACCUUGAGUAUCUGCUUGAAAGGUGGGUGCCUUCUUCUGGGAUGGAGCAGAGGGGCAGGCAGCAGGGAGUCAGGAUUCACUACCAUUCCAGAUCACCCCCUGAUUUCUCAGAGUCUCCUGCACGGAUGCACACAGACCAGGGCAGGAUGA